AUAUAAUUGCGUGAAGGAUUGUAGCGAUAUCCUUUUGCUUUUGCAAAAGAUUUAGCGAAAAGCCUGACCUGAA
rfam:Flaviramulus basaltis strain DSM 18180 genome assembly, contig: Ga0104527_103